rnacentral:rRNA from 3 species
AAAACGGAGAGUUUGAUCCUGGCUCAGGAUGAACGCUGGCGGUAUGCUUAACACAUGCAAGUCGAACGGAAUCUUUAGGGAUUUAGUGGCGGACGGGUGAGUAACGCGUGAG